AUGACCCCAUGCCGCCAAGCCUGGGGACAGAUUCUCCAGGGGCAAACAGGCAGCUGGGUUAAACUCCCCCAACCUCACCGUGCCCACCCUUCUCCUUGGGGGCGCAGUCCUGCAGCCUUCCCUUUCUUUCCAGCAUGGAAAGCCAAGUGCAAAGACGAGGUCCAUUAUCAGCAGUGGAGCUCAAUGACGUGGCUUGGGGUUCAAACCGGGAGCGUCAGGUACUGGUUUCUCUGGCGCCCAGAGGAAAAGCCAGCAUUCCUUGAAAUGGCAGAAGCCACCGAAAGUCAUCCUGCCUGUGUGAGAAUGAUGUACCGGAACUGCCUUUGCAAAUCCAGAAAGACACGUCAGAUGGGAAACGUGAAGAGACGGAGUGACGUGCUCAGCGUGGUGGAGGGGAAAGGAACACCAAAGUGCCCCGAUUCCUGCCUCAUUUGGGCUCAGCAAGACCUGAUCCAGCCCCUCAAGACAGUCCCAUGGGCCAUCUGGGAAAGAAGGUGUCUCCAGCAACUUCUGUGA
rnacentral:lncRNA from 1 species